rnacentral:piRNA from 1 species
UAGAAACUGUCACUCCAGGAGGAAGG